rnacentral:rRNA from 1 species
UACGUAGGUGGCAAGCGUUGUCCGGAUUUACUGGGCGUAAAGCGUGCGUAGGUGGUGAGUUAAGUCUGUCGUGAAAGCCCCGGGCUCAACCUGGGAAUGGCGAUGGAUACUGGCUCGCUAGAGUGCGGUAGAGGAGAGUGGAAUUCCCGGUGUAGCAGUGAAAUGCGUAGAGAUCGGGAGGAACAUCAGUUGCGAAGGCGGCUCUCUGGACCAGCACUGACACUGAGGCACGAAAGCGUGGGGAGCAAACAGG